UUUUAAAUUUUGUUAGAUCUAAAUUGGAGAAUUUUCUCUCAAAAAUUUAUGCAUCUCUUAUAUUUUCUUCGCAUCCAAACACUCUUUAUUCUUUCAAUUUUGCAAGAAAAUCACUCUUUCUUCUCUAAUUUCUCAUCUAAACUUAGCUCGUUUUUGCUCAAUUGGUACAAAUUCGUGGAGGUUUUCGAAUUAAAGGUAAAUCUAUUAUUUCGUUAUGUAUUAAAUUUUUAUUAGGUGUUUUUAAUUUGAAUUUUCAUAGAUCUAAGCAAGAAAAUUAAAGGUCCAUGGUUUUAAAGUUAUCUUUUGCAUAAAAAUAGUGAAUCUCAUAAUAAAGAGCUAAGAGAUAUUUUUAAAAUGAUUUUUAGUAUAUUUUGACGAGAUUAAGAGGUUUACAAAUUCAAUUUAACAAAAUCUUUAAGUAAUUGCAUGAAUUAAAUGGUUUUCUUUUAAGAAUAAGGAUGAACAAUGUUUUUCCGGAAAAAUAUUAAUUAAAUAAAUAGAGCAAAGUUAGAGAUCUAGAUCUAUAAUUUGGCACAAGUUAGAGGGUUAGGAGGUAGAAAUAAAAGAUUUAAUUAAGGUAAAAAGAAGAAAUUAAGCGAAAUAAAUUGUACUAAAUAAGCUGAAUAAAUAUGAGUGAGUGAGAGCCGUUGUAUGAACAUAAAGAAAGUAAGCUAAAUUAUUUUUUAAUGCUUAGUAAUAUGUAUAUUCUUGUGCGAAGUUGAAAAUGUUGGUGGAGCCUCAACAAACCAAGAUAAAGGCGAGCGAAAAGUUGUCUAAUUCGACGAGUCGUGGUGAGCUAUAGGUGAGUGCAUUUGUAUGUCGUGUUUUAGCAUGAAUUGCAAAAUCUAGAGAGUCGAAGUGUGGCUUGUGAACCCCCACUUAUGGUAUGUGAACCUUGACUUCUUCCUUGUGUAAAUCCUUGCAAUUUUGGUUGAAUCGUUGAGUAUAUACAUGGUGCGAUUUUAAUAGUGAAAAAUGUAUAAACUUAUAAUUUAUAUACAUGUGCUUUAUUUUAUAUAUAGUAUAUAUAUUAAUGGAUUUUGGUGUUAUAUAUAAUAAUAUACAUAUAUAUCCGUGGGUUGUUAUACAUAAAUUAUAUUAUAUUCGUGGGUCUUACUAUGUACAUAUAUGCUUGGGUCUUAUUAUAUAAUAUAUAUAAUUAUGGGUAUAGUUUUAUAUGAUAUAUAAAUUUAUGGGACUUUUAAUGUAUGAUAAAAUUUGACGUGACAAAUGUCACUAAAUAGGUAUGUAUAUAUAUGUAAUAUAUAUAUUCAUAUAUGGUUAUGUAAUGCUUGCGAACGGAUAAUAUUAUAAUAUGGAUUUUUAUAACAUGUGAAUUUUAUUGAUAAUGUGCAUUUAUGUAUGCAUGAACCCGUAAAUGAAUUAUGAGAUUUAUGAUAUUACGAGUUUUGAUUAGUGCAAAAUUAUAUUAUCUUGAAAUGCUAAGUGCAAGCUCCACUCUAGUGCAAGCCAAUUAUAUCUGUGCAUUAUAUUAUAUUGUGAACCAUGUUAACUUGGUGAAUUAUAUUAUUAUGGCAAACUGUAUUAAUUUACCAAACUGUGUAUUGUGAGAUUUUUGAGUUGUAUUGUAUGUAAACUAAGCUAUUGAGUGCCCUAUGCUAAAUAAAAUAUGCGAACAAUGAUUUAUGUGAGCUAUGUCAUGAAUGAUAUGUGAACUGUGAUUAUGAGUGCAUUAUAUGUUGCAUGGAAGUUAUAUUAUUUGCGAACCAUGCUCUAUUACGAACUAUGUUAUAUUGUGCAAGAUCUGCUUAAUUGUGAGCCUUAUUAUACUGAAUAUUGUGAAUGUGUUAAAAGAGAUAUGUUGGCAUUGUGACUUUAUGAAACCAUUGGAUAUAGUUGGCAUAUCAUAAGAUUGUAAGUACUCACCCUUCUUUUUUAUUGCGAUAGGCAUUGUGGCCUGAAAAUAGCGUUGGACAGAUAAGGG
rnacentral:lncRNA from 1 species